CGUAGGCAGCGAGCGUUGUUCGGAGUUACUGGGCGUAAAGCGUGCGUAGGCGGUGGUCCAAGUCUGGUGUGAAAUCUCCCGGCUCAACUGGGAGGGUGCGCCGGAAACUGGGCCGCUGGAGUAUGGGAGAGGCAAGCGGAAUUCCAGGUGUAGCGGUGAAAUGCGUAGAUAUCUGGAGGAACACCCGUGGUGCAGACGGCUUGCUGGACCAUGACUGACGCUGAGGCACGAAAGCGUGGGUAGCAAACAGGAUUAGAUACCCUGGUAGUCCACGCCCUAAACGAUGCAUAUUUGGUGUGGGCAGUUCAGUCUGUCCGUGCCGAAGCUAACGCGAUAAAUAUGCCGCCUGGGGAUACGGUCGCAAGGCUG
rnacentral:rRNA from 1 species